UUGUUUUAAAGAGGGGGUUGGUAGUAUUUUCAGUUGGAAAAUCACAUAUCAGAUGUAAUUAUCUGAUACCGCAUCUCUGCCAGAGUAACUGAUUUGAGUGAUAGCAGAAAUCUACCCAUUAGAGAUAUUUGUCCAUUGUUAGGGUAUGUUUGCCUGUGUAAUUAUAACUUAAUAUUAGUAAUAACUAAUUUUCUAGUAGACUAUGAUGUAGCACAGAUGUUACUCCAGAAACAUUCGCAAAAAGAAAAGGAGUACUUGUGGCACCUUAGAGACUAACCAAUUUAUUUGAGCAUGAGCUUUCGUGAGCUACAGCUCACUUCAUCAGAUGCAUACCGUGGAAACUGCAGCAGACUUUAUAUACACACAGAGAUCAUGAAACAAUACCUCCUCCCACCCCACUGUCCUGCUGGUAAUAGCUUAUCUAAAGUGAUCAUCAAGUUGGGCCAUUUCCAGCACAAAUCCAGGUUUUCUCACCCUCCACUCCCCCACACAAACUCACUCUCCUGCUGGUAAUAGCUCAUCCAAAGUGACCACUCUCCCUACAAUGUGCAUGGUAAUCAAGGUGGGCCAUGUCCAGCACAAAUUAAUGAAACAUUAAUGCAUUGCCACGCAUACAGGAGUAAGUCCCUUUGUGGAACACACUUGAUAGCUGUCAUGUCUUGGAAAAUUGUCAUUGUCAAGCUAUGUAACUUGGACUAAUGGUUUAAGAACAAAUCUGCAUUUCAAAUUGUUCAUGCUGAAUCCAAGUCAUUUCAAUAAGACUUAAGCCUGGUCUACACUACGAGUUUAGGUUGAAUUUAGCAGAGUUCUCUCGAUUUAACCCUGCGUCCAUCCACGUGACGAAGCCCUUUUUUUCAACUUAAACAGCUCUUAAAAUCGAUUUCUUUACUCACCCCCGACGAGGGGAUUAGCGCUGAAAUUGGCCUUGCCGGGUCGAAUUUGGGGUACUGUGGAUGCAAUUCAAUGGUUUUGGCCUCCAGGAGCUAUCCCAGUGUGCUCAGUUGUGACCGCUCUGGACAGCGCUCUCAACUCAGAUGCACUGGCCAGGUAUACAGGAAAAGGCCCACGAACUUUUGAAUCUCAUUUCCUGUUUGGCCAGCGUGGUGAGCUCACCUGCACAGGUCACCAUGCAGAGCUCAUCAUCGCAGGAGACCAUGCAGUCCCAGAAUCGCCGAAGAGCUCCAGAAUGGACCGAAUGGGAGGUACAGGAUCUGAUCACUGUAUGGGGAGACGAAUCCAUGCUGGCAGAACUCUGUUCGAAAAGACGAAAUGCCAAAAUAUUUGAAAAAAAUCUCCAGUGGCAUGAAGGACAGGGGCUAUAACAGGGACCCACAGCAGUGCCGCGUGAAAAUUAAGGAGCUCAGGCAAGCCUACCAAAAAACCAGAGAGGCAAACAGCCGCUCUGGUUCAGAGCCCCAGACAUGUUGCUUCUAUGAUGAGCUGUAUGCCAUUCUAGGGGGUGCAGCCACCACUACCUCAACCCUGUGCUUUGAUGCCGUCCAAGGAGUGGGAGGCAACACGGAAGCGGGUUUUGGGGGCGAGGAAGAUAAUAGCUCACAGCAAGGAAGCGGAGAAACUGGUUUCCCCAACAGCCAGGAUCUGUUUAUCACUGGACUCAGUACCCCCCGAACCUAUCCAAGGUGGGCUCCUGGACCCUGAAGGUGGAGAAGGGACCUCUGCUGCAUAUGUUUCUCCUUCCCAGAGGCUAGCAAAGAUAAGAAGGCGAAAAAAACGCAUUCGUGAUUAAAUGUUCUGACCUCAGGCUGUCCUCCCACACUGACAGAGCACAGCAAAAUACAUGGAGGCAGACAAUCUCAGAGUGCAAGAAAACACAAUAUGACCAUGAGGAGAGAUGGUGGGCUGAAGAUGUUAGGUGGCAUCAGCUUGCUGAAAGAAGGCAGGAGUCAAUGCUCAGGCUGCUGGAGGAUUAAACUCAUAUGCUCCAGCAUAUGGUUGAGCUGCAGAAAAGGCAGCAGGAGCACAGACUUCUGCUACAGCCCCUGUGUAACCAACUGCCCCCCACCCUAAGUUCCAUAGCAUCCUCACCCAGACGCCCAAGAACGCGGUGGGGGGGCCUACAGCCACUCCACCCCAAAGGAUUGCCCAAGCAACAGAAGGCUGGCAUUCAAUAAGUUUUAAAGUGCUGUGUGGCCUCCACCACCCCUCCUGGGCUACCUUGGCAGUUAUCCCCCUGUUUGUGUGAUGAAUUAAUAAAGAAUGCAUGAAUGUGA